AUGAAACAAGGAUGUAAGGAAUGGAAUGAGGCCCUAGUGCACCAAUUGUUCCAUAGUUAUGAUGCGGAGGAAAUAUGCAAGAUCAAACUCCCAAGGAGUGAGGCUGCAGAUUGUGUAGCGUGGCAUGGUGAUAAGUCAGGCAUAUUCAUUGCUUCCAGCUCUAGCUGCGACGCGGAUAACAGGAGCAUAUGGGAUUAUAUAUGGAAAGCAAACUUCCCAAAAAAGGUAAGGAUAUUUGCUUGGCGAGUGGCCACAGAGACCUUACCCACGAAAGAAAAUAAAUGGAAAAGGACCCUCGAAGUGGAUAACAUUUGCAAUAUUUGCGGUGUGGAGACAGAAAAUGAGUUCCAUGCAGUGAUAAACUGUAGUAAGGCUAAAGCAUUACGAGCUGAGAUGAGGUCUCAUUGGGUGCUCCCAAACGAGAAUGAGUUUCAGUACACGGGCAAUGAUUGGCUGCAAAACCUGUUGGGAUCAUGUGCGGACAAGGUACGUCGUAAGAUACUCCUUCUGUUAUGGAGAGCUUGGUGGCUACAAGAUGAUUGUAUUCAUGCAAAGGGAGAGGCCUUGAUUGGUCAGUCUGCCAGCUUCCUGGUGAGAUAUGCGGAAGAAACAAAGAUGGGGGAGACAGCAAACAUAGAUGUUGAGGAACUGUCGGCUACAAGGUCUCUGUCGAUAAAUCAGACUGAGUAA
rnacentral:rRNA from 1 species